rnacentral:rRNA from 1 species
CCUACGGGUUGCACCAGUGGGGAAUAUUGCACAAUGGGCGCAAGCCUGAUGCAGCCAUGCCGCGUGUAUGAAGAAGGCCUUCGGGUUGUAAAGUACUUUCAGCGGGGAGGAAGGUGUUGUGGUUAAUAACCGCGGCAAUCGACGUUACCCGCAGAAGAAGCACCGGCCAACUCCGUGCCAGCAGCCGCGGUAAUACGGAGGGUGCAAGCGUUAAUCGGAAUUACCGGGCGUAAAGCGCACGCAGGCGGUCUGUCAAGUCGGAUGUGAAAUCCCCGGGCUCAACCUGGGAACUGCAUUCGAAACUGGCAGGCUAGAGUCUUGUAGAGGGGGGUAGAAUUCCAGGUGUAGCGGUGAAAUGCGUAGAGAUCUGGAGGAAUACCGGUGGCGAAGGCGGCCCCCUGGACAAAGACUGACGCUCAGGUGCGAAAGCGUGGGGAGCAAACAGGAUUAGAUACCCCAGUAGUC